rnacentral:rRNA from 1 species
GCCUACGGGGCGCAGCAGUGGGGAAUAUUGGUCAAUGGGCGAGAGCCUGAACCAGCCAAGUCGCGUGAGGGAAGACGGUCCUAUGGAUUGUAAACCUCUUUUGUCGGGGAGCAAAAAGGCCUCGUGAGGCCACAAGCGAGAGUACCCGAAGAAAAAGCAUCGGCUAACUCCGUGCCAGCAGCCGCGGUAAUACGGAGGAUGCGAGCGUUAUCCGGAUUUAUUGGGGUUAAAGGGUGCGUAGGCGGACUGGAAAGUCAGCGGUAACAUCGAGAGGCUCAACCUCUUUCCGCCGUUGGAGAUGUUGG